ensembl:snRNA U2 U2 spliceosomal RNA
UUGGCUUCUCUGCCUUUUGGCUAAGAUCAAGUGUAGUAUCUCUUAAAAAUCUGUUCCUGUCAGUUUAAUAUCUGCUACGUCCCUUAUCUGGGGACCAUAUAUGAAAUUGUAUUUUGGAACGGGGAGAUGGAAUGGGGGCUUGCUCUGUCCCCUGCACGCAUCGACCUAGUAAUGCAGGCUCUCCAGGAAGGGUGCACCUCUC